AACGAACGCUGGCGGCAUGCCUAACACAUGCAAGUCGAACGAGACCUUCGGGUCUAGUGGCGCACGGGUGCGUAACGCGUGGGAACCUGCCCUUAGGUUCGGAAUAACUCCCCGAAAGGGGUGCUAAUACCGGAUAAUGUCUUCGGACCAAAGAUUUAUCGCCUUUGGAUGGGCCCGCGUUGGAUUAGCUAGUUGGUAGGGUAAAAGCCUACCAAGGCGACGAUCCAUAGCUGGUCUGAGAGGAUGAUCAGCCACACUGGGACUGAGGCACGGCCCAGACUCCUACGGGAGGCAGCAGUGGGGUAUAUUGGACAAUGGGCGAAAGCCUGAUCCAGCAAUGCCGCGUGAGUGAUGAAGGCCUUAGGGUUGUAAAGCUCUUUUACCCGGGAUGAUAAUGACAGUACCGGGAGAAUAAGCUCCGGCUAACUCCGUG
rnacentral:rRNA from 1 species